rnacentral:piRNA from 1 species
UAAGGGAUGUCAUCUGGGCCCAUGCA